rnacentral:rRNA from 1 species
AGAGUUUGAUCAUGGCUCAGAUUGAACGCUGGCGGCAGGCCUAACACAUGCAAGUCGAACGGUAACAGGAAACAGCUUGCUGUUUCGCUGACGAGUGGCGGACGGGUGAGUAAUGUCUGGGAAACUGCCUGAUGGAGGGGGAUAACUACUGGAAACGGUAGCUAAUACCGCAUAACGUCGCAAGACCAAAGAGGGGGACCUUCGGGCCUCUUGCCAUCAGAUGUGCCCAGAUGGGAUUAGCUAGUAGGUGGGGUAACGGCUCACCUAGGCGACGAUCCCUAGCUGGUCUGAGAGGAUGACCAGCCACACUGGAACUGAGACACGGUCCAGACUCCUACGGGAGGCAGCAGUGGGGAAUAUUGCACAAUGGGCGCAAGCCUGAUGCAGCCAUGCCGCGUGUAUGAAGAAGGCCUUCGGGUUGUAAAGUACUUUCAGCGGGGAGGAAGGGAGUAAAGUUAAUACCUUUGCUCAUUGACGUUACCCGCAGAAGAAGCACCGGCUAACUCCGUGCCAGCAGCCGCGGUAAUACGGAGGGUGCAAGCGUUAAUCGGAAUUACUGGGCGUAAAGCGCACGCAGGCGGUUUGUUAAGUCAGAUGUGAAAUCCCCGGGCUCAACCUGGAACUGCAUCUGAUACUGGCAAGCUUGAGUCUCGUAGAGGGGGGUAGAAUUCCAGGUGUAGCGGUGAAAUGCGUAGAGAUCUGGAGGAAUACCGGUGGCGAAGGCGGCCCCCUGGACGAAGACUGACGCUCAGGUGCGAAAGCGUGGGGAGCAAACAGGAUUAGAUACCCUGGUAGUCCACGCCGUAAACGAUGUCGACUUGGAGGUUGUGCCCUUGAGGCGUGGCUUCCGGAGCUAACGCGUUAAGUCGACCGCCUGGGGAGUACGGCCGCAAGGUUAAAACUCAAAUGAAUUGACGGGGGCCCGCACAAGCGGUGGAGCAUGUGGUUUAAUUCGAUGCAACGCGAAGAACCUUACCUGGUCUUGACAUCCACGGAAGUUUUCAGAGAUGAGAAUGUGCCUUCGGGAACCGUGAGACAGGUGCUGCAUGGCUGUCGUCAGCUCGUGUUGUGAAAUGUUGGGUUAAGUCCCGCAACGAGCGCAACCCUUAUCCUUUGUUGCCAGCGGUCCGGCCGGGAACUCAAAGGAGACUGCCAGUGAUAAACUGGAGGAAGGUGGGGAUGACGUCAAGUCAUCAUGGCCCUUACGACCAGGGCUACACACGUGCUACAAUGGCGCAUACAAAGAGAAGCGACCUCGCGAGAGCAAGCGGACCUCAUAAAGUGCGUCGUAGUCCGGAUUGGAGUCUGCAACUCGACUCCAUGAAGUCGGAAUCGCUAGUAAUCGUGGAUCAGAAUGCCACGGUGAAUACGUUCCCGGGCCUUGUACACACCGCCCGUCACACCAUGGGAGUGGGUUGCAAAAGAAGUAGGUAGCUUAACCUUCGGGAGGGCGCUUACCACUUUGUGAUUCAUGACUGGGGUGAAGUCGUAACAAGGUAACCGUAGGGGAACCUGCGGUUG